CGGGCUAAACCCGCGCCCGUUUUAGAAAGUUCGGAGAGGAAAGUCCGGACACCGCAGGGCAGGAUGCUGCGCCAGCUUUACCGCGAGCGCAGGCGGUGCGCGUCAAGGCGCGCCGACGGACAGUGUCACAGAAAACAAACCGCCACGCGGGCAACCGCGGGGUCAGGGUGAAAAGGUGGGGUAAGAGCCCACCGCGCCGACGGCGACGUCGGCGGCACGACAAACCCCUUCCGGUGCAAGGCAAAAUAGGUGGCUGGGCGGCCCGUCCGAUAGCCACGGGUAUGCCGCACUCUGCUGCGCGCGGCGAAAGUUGCGCAAGGCGGAGCGGGCCCUUCGCAAGAGGGGCGUGAGAGAAAUGAUGAUCGAACCCCGAUUCGUCGGGGGGAACAGAAUCCGGCUUACCGGUCCCGAAGC
rnacentral:RNase_P_RNA from 1 species